rnacentral:lncRNA from 1 species
GACAACACCUAACAACAGCUAUAGCGCUCUUUGGGCCCUUGGAGACACUGUCAAGAUGAAGGCCGUGAUUCUAUAUCUCCUUUUAUUGGCUGCCUUCAGUGCCAUAGCUCUGUGCGGACUUCCACAAGACAGGCAACCAAUAAGAGCUUGCGUUCAUAGCUGCCCUCCGGGAAGAAGACAUGGCGACUGGUGUGGUCCAAACUGUACUUGUCGGGCUCACGUGCGUGUCCGUACAGUCAACUUGGCGUGUGUGGCAACGGGCUCCCGGACACCGCAUUUGUUGCGUCCAUGGCGAAUGCCCGUAAGAGGAAAAUAACAUAGACGCCGACCGGACAUCUCAGAAGAGUUAUCGCAUGGGCUACGAAGAACUUCAUGUGUCUCAUUUUAUGAUGAGCCGCGAAGAUGCGCAAAUCCAAAUCCUACGACGAACAUUCAAAAUUGAUAUUUACUUACAGCGGUAUUUUUGUAAUAUAGUGAUUUACAUCAAUGUUAAAACAUCCGUACACUCGAUUUUUCAUUGUAUAAAUCUUAACAACGUUUUCUUUUAAUUUGCACAACCGCAUGCUGCCUACACUUUGUAACAUUUUUUGAAGCUCUCCUUACUAAGUGCCCACUCUUCAUGUGUUUCAUAGUUACUGCAA